rnacentral:rRNA from 1 species
UUUCCGGUUGAUCCCUGCCGGACCUUGACUGCUAUUCGGAUUGAUACUAAGCCAUUGCGAGUCAUUUGUAGGUAAUACAAGGGCAGACUGGCUCAGUAACGCCGUGUUCAACUCUAACCUAUGGACUGGGAAUAACCUCGGGAAAGCUGAGUAUAAUGCCCGAUAGAACAUUAUGUCCUGGUAAUGGUUUUAUGUUCCAAAUUGAUUUAUCGCUCGUAGGAUUGGGACUUGCGGCCUAUCAGUUGUGUUUGGUGAGGUUAAUGGCCCACCAAUGACUAUUACAGUGUUACGGUGCUCUGAGAGGAGGUAGCCCUGGAGAUGGGUACUUGAGACACUGGACCCAGUGCCCUAUGUGGGCGCAGUCAGUGCGAGUAAAACUUUUGCAAUUGUUGCGAAAGUCACGACAAUGGUUAAUCGCGAGUUGGUUUUCUGCUAUAUAGGAAUUUUGGUCUAGUCCUAUGAAACACUGUAUGAAUAGUAGUGGGUGGUGCAAGUUUCUGGUGUUCAGCUCGCCGUCGGUGAAAACCUAGAACCUUCAAGUUGGUCAUGGAUCGAUUAUUUGGGCCUAGAAGCAAUCCGUUAGCCGGGCUUCUGUAAGUUUUACGGUUUAAACUCUGUACCGCCUAUAACCGUACCAGGGCUG